GAGGGUGUAGCUCAGUGGUAGAACGAACGCUUGGCAUGCACGAGGUCCUGGGUUCAAUCCCCAGUGCCUCCA
rnacentral:tRNA from 1 species